rnacentral:rRNA from 1 species
AGUGAACGCUGGCGGUAGGCCUAACACAUGCAAGUCGAACGGCAGCACAGUAAGAGCUUGCUCUUACGGGUGGCGAGUGGCGGACGGGUGAGGAAUACAUCUGAAUCUACUUUUUCGUGGGGGAUAACGUAGGGAAACUUACGCUAAUACCGCAUACGACCUACGGGUGAAAGCAUGGGAUCUUCGGACCUUGCGCGAUUGAAUGAGCCGAUGUCGGAUUAGCUAGUUGGCGGGGUAAAGGCCCACCAAGGCGACGAUCCGUAGCUGGUCUGAGAGGAUGAUCAGCCACACUGGAACUGAGACACGGUCCAGACUCCUACGGGAGGCAGCAGUGGGGAAUAUUGGACAAAGGGCGCAAGCCUGAUCCAGCCAUACCGCGUGGGUGAAGAAGGCCUUCGGGUUGUAAAGCCCUUUUGUUGGGAAAGAAAAGCAGCAGGUUAAUACCCCGCUGUUCUGACGGUACCCAAAGAAUAAGCACCGGCUAACUUCGUG